UACGUAGGGUGCGAGCGUUAAUCGGAAUUACUGGGCGUAAAGCGUGCGCAGGCGGUUUGUUAAGACAGAUGUGAAAUCCCCGGGCUUAACCUGGGAACUGCAUUUGUGACUGGCAAGCUAGAGUAUGGCAGAGGGGGGGUAGAAUUCCACGUGUAGCAGUGAAAUGCGUAGAGAUGUGGAGGAACACCGAUGGCGAAGGCAGCCCCCCUGGGUCAAGAUUGACGCUCAUGCACGAAAGCAUGGGGAGCGAACAGG
rnacentral:rRNA from 1 species